CAGCAGCCACGGAAAUACGAAGGGUGCAAGCGUUACUCGGAAUUACUGGGCGUAAAGCGUGCGUAGGUGGUGGUUUAAGUCCGUUGUGAAAGCCCUGGGCUCAACCUGGGAAUUGCAGUGGAUACUGGGUCACUAGAGUGUGGUAGAGGAUAGUGGAAUUUCCGGUGUAGCAGUGAAAUGCGUAGAGAUCGGAAGGAACAUCUGUGGCGAAGGCGACUAUCUGGGCCAACACUGACACUGAGGCACGAAAGCGUGGGGAGCAAACAGGAUUAGAUACCCGUGUAGUCCCUGUCUCUUAUAC
rnacentral:rRNA from 1 species